rnacentral:rRNA from 1 species
GACGAACGCUGGCGGCGCGCCUAACACAUGCAAGUCGAACGGGCGAGAGAGAGCUUGCUUUCUCGAGCGAGUGGCGAACGGGUGAGUAACGCGUGAGGAACCUGCCUCAAAGAGGGGGACAACAGUUGGAAACGACUGCUAAUACCGCAUAAGCCCACGGCUCGGCAUCGAGCAGGGGGAAAAGGAGCAAUCCGCUUUGAGAUGGCCUCGCGUCCGAUUAGCUAGUUGGUGGGGUAACGGCCCACCAAGGCGACGAUCGGUAGCCGGACUGAGAGGUUGAACGGCCACAUUGGGACUGAGACACGGCCCAGACUCCUACGGGAGGCAGCAGUGGGGAAUAUUGCACAAUGGGGGAAACCCUGAUGCAGCGACGCCGCGUGGAGGAAGAAGGUCUUCGGAUUGUAAACUCCUGUUGUUGGGGAAGAUAAUGACGGUACCCAACAAGGAAGUGACGGCUAACUACGUG